rnacentral:rRNA from 1 species
CUUUCUUUGCUGGCGACCGGCGCACGGGUGAGUAACACGUAUCCAACCUGCCCUUUACUCGGGGAUAGCCUUUCGAAAGAAAGAUUAAUACCCGAUGGCAUAAUGAUUCCGCAUGGUUUCAUUAUUAAAGGAUUCCGGUAAAGGAUGGGGAUGCGUUCCAUUAGGUUGUUGGUGAGGUAACGGCCCACCAAGCCUUCGAUGGAUAGGGGUUCUGAGAGGAAGGUCCCCCCCAUUGGAACUGAGACACGGUCCAA